rnacentral:rRNA from 1 species
AUUGAACGCUGGCGGCAGGCUUAACACAUGCAAGUCGAGCGGGGUGAUGGUGCUUGCACUAUCACUUAGCGGCGGACGGGUGAGUAAUGCUUAGGAAUCUGCCUAUUAGUGGGGGACAACAUCUCGAAAGGGAUGCUAAUACCGCAUACGUCCUACGGGAGAAAGCAGGGGAUCACUUGUGACCUUGCGCUAAUAGAUGAGCCUAAGUCGGAUUAGCUAGUUGGUGGGGUAAAGGCCUACCAAGGCGACGAUCUGUAGCGGGUCUGAGAGGAUGAUCCGCCACACUGGGACUGAGACACGGCCCAGGCUCCUACGGGAGGCAGCAGUGGGGAAUAUUGGACAAUGGGGGGAACCCUGAUCCAGCCAUGCCGCGUGUGUGAAGAAGGCCUUAUGGUUGUAGAGCACUUUAAGCGAGGAGGAGGCUCUUUUGGUUAAUACCCAAGAUGAGUGGACGUUACUCGCAGAAUAAGCACCGGCUAACUCUGUGCCAGCAGCCGCCGUAA